GAAUUGUUAUUGCAGCCUUUGCUAAACAGGUCGGAAGACGCAGAGGCCACAGCACUUCAGGAGGGCCUUUUGUUUGUACAAAGGAACAACCGGAUUCUCUUAUAUAUUGUAGCUCUUUUACGGGAGGAUGGCUGUAAUUCUUGAAGCUUUGCUCCACAUAACAAGAACAAAAUAGUAUCAGAGCUUCUGUAUUUGAGCUUUUAUAGACUACCAAGGUACAUGUCUCAGUUAUCCAGAGGUACCGACGAAGCCAGCACUCAAAGAGCCUUGACGGUCGCCUGUGCUGGAUCCGCUGGUAAGAUUUUUUUUUGGCUUUUUUAAAAAAAAAUAAGUGGUGUACAUUCUGCUACCAACACUCCACCGAAAAUGAGUCUUGAUAGCUAGAAAUCGAAAAUGGUUUUUCAGCUCCUUGACUACCCUUAUAAAGAUGACCUUGAAACUGUCUUCCAGAUUCUUUGAAAAAAUGUUCAUAUUGUGUUUCAUCGAUGAGGCUAGCCUUGAGGAAAAACUCAGCCACGUUGCGCUAGACAAUAUUUUCUUCCUAGAGGACGAUGAUUGUUUCGAGAGUUUCUAGGAAUUCAAUGUUGUAAACAUAAGGGAUACUUUAAGAUUCCUCUCGCAGAUGGGUGUUGUCCACAUGUUUGGUGGCCUAAUGCCUAUCAUAAUAAAGGUCUCACAUUUCCUGUUUUUCUCCUAAAUAUUUCGAUUUUAAUCUAAAAUGCGUUGAUUAGAAUAAUUAAUUGUCUGUGAAUGUGAUUAUGUUUAUGGGGGUGAUUAGGAUUGAAUUUUUCUUCAACACAAUUGAUUGUAAUUUAUGACCUAGAAGUGUUUAUGUUAGGUUGUAACACAAAUUCCAUGUGAUUUAGAAGUUUGAUUCAUGAAGAAAGCCUAGAUGAUUUUGGUUUGGAAGUCUGGAUAGAAGAUGGAUUAAAUUUCAUCAUGGAUUCGUAGUUUUAUAGGGAAAAUGACUUUGUAAUGGAUAAGAAAGUAUUUUUGAAACAUGAGGUCCGAAAUAGGGUGCCUAGGUGUAAGAAGAGCUGCAAGAGGAGAGGCUGCGAGUAGUCAGGGCGAUAGAGAAACUAUUCAACAACAGUGGUGAUGGUGGGGUGCCAUAGGAUGGGAAGAAUUUGGUUCCUAAUUGAUUUUGGCUACAUUUUUUGUGCUCUACUUUAUCCAUAACUCCAAAAUUGGGCUCUUAUUUGUACUCCACGUGGUGUAAGCUCUUCAGAGGCUCAAUGACCGAUAAGAUCGUUGUUGAUUCAUUAUUUGGCUUGAUUCUCAACAAAUUGAUAUUAGAGUCAAAGUUUUUUAUUUUGCAAUUUUUUGGGAGGUCCAAACUAGUUAUUAAAUUGAAAUUUAAACAAGGUUGAUUGUUUCGGAGAUGGCAACUAUGAAAUUUGAGAUUCCAUUUUUGGAUCUCGAAAGUAAAUUUUCUUUGUGGAAGAUCAAAUUGCAAGUAGUUCUUUCUGAAUUGGAGUUGGAUGAUGCUUUUUUGGAAGGGAUAGAAUGCCUCGGAACAAUGACUACGAAGGAGAAGCAACGCAAGGAUUGAAAAGUUCUAUCACAGAAAUAUCUUCAUCAUUCUAAUCAAAAUUUUUAAGAUGUGGUAAAGAAGAAUAGUGCUGUGGGAUUGUUGUUUGAAAUUGGAGUUGGAGCAACUUUGUAUGGAAAAGAGUUUGACCAGCAAUUUACACCUGAAAUAGCAUUUCUAUUCUCAUUGCUUGACAGAAGGUGCAGCUUUAGAAGAUUAUCUAUUGGUAUUCAAGGGAAUUGUUGCUGAUUUGAAAACCAAGGAGCUCAAGUACAAUGAAGAAGAUUUAAGAAUAAUAUUGUUAUGUUCAUUACCAUCUUCAUACAUGACUUUUAGAGAUACUAUUCUCUAUAGUCAGGAUAUUUUCACUAUUGACGAGGCAUAUGAUGUGCUUUAUUAUUCGUAAGGGGAAGACAGGUGGUCAUGAAAGUGGUAGAGUCAAGGAUAGCAAUAGUGAUAAAGUCGAUGAUAUUGCAACAACAAAUGGCACAUGAAGAAGGAUUUCUAUGAGUGACGGAACACGAGUGAGUUUACUACUACAAAUCAAAAGGGACAACCAAGAAAUUUUGGUAAUGCUUUGUCUUGCAAAAGAAGAUUGUAGUGAUGGAGAUCUUUUGGAAAUUUUUUUUAUGAUAACUCCAAACCUGUUGAUGAUUAGAUUCUUGAUACAGUUUUCACUUUGCAUGUAUGUUCUAAGUGGGAUUGAUUUUGUUCAUAUAAAAUAGUUACAAGGGGUUCUGUGGUGAUAAAAAAUAACGAGCUUUGUAAAAUAGCUAGUAUUAGUAAGGUCAAAAUCAAGAUGUUUUAUAGAAUGAUCACGUCACUUGGUUUAGUGAGACAUGUUCCAGGUUUAAACAAAAAUAUUAUCUCCUUGAGUAUCCUUGAUUCGAAAGGAUACAAGUAUAUUGGUGGAGGUGGAGGUGAAGUUUUGAAAGUUAGCAAGUGUACUAGUGCUGUGUUAAAAAGGCGGAGAAAUUCUCGAUUAUAUGUUUUGAAAGGUUCAACGGUCACUAAGGAAAGAACGGGAGCUUAUGGUCUUAUAAGCAAAUAAUUCAAUUAUAAUUGGUUACGGGUUGCUAGUGGUGAUUCAAGUAGGUUUGGUGACUCGGCUGAAGCUAGUAAUGAACUGGAUGAUACAAGUAAGUUUGGCACGCAAGAUAGCUCUGCUGGAAUGCAUGACUUGGAUUUAGUUCACAUUUGCUAAAUAUUCCUGGAAGGGGCAUGGGACGUGGUGGAAGAGGUGGAGAAUAGUUUGAAAAGUGAAGACUUAAUUCCUCACUAUGAAAUUUGUAUCAAGGUAGAGUUUGUUAUGUUGUGACUUAAAUUUAAUUUGAUUUGAAAGUUUGAUUCAUGGAGGAAGCAUAGAUAAUUUUGGUUUGGAAGUUUGGAUAGAGUAGGGAUCAAAUUUCACCAUGAAUUGAGAGUUUGAUCGAGGAAAGGACUUUGGAAUGGAUAAAGAAGUCAUUUGAAAGCAUGGGGUCCAAUACAGGGCGCUUAGAUGUUGGAAAGAGCACAAGAGGAAAGGCCAUGGGGCAUCGGGCAUCCAAGCAUGACUGAGAAGGUAUUCAACAAUACUGUGUCGAGCGGCAAAGUUGGGGCGUAUGGUGCCACAAUGCCACCUGCUGGGAAGAAUUUGAUAAUUCCUAAUUGAUUUUUGUCUCAUUUUUUGUACUCUACUUUAUCCAUAACUCCUAUAUAUACUCAAGUGGUGUAGGCUCUUUAUAGACUCGACUAGCGACAAGAUCGUUGCUGUAUACAUUGAGAACUUGAGAGGAUUAUUUAAAUUUAAAUUGUGAGUAUCAAAUCUUGUAAGACAAGUUUAGUUUCUUGGUAUAUUGAAAUUCCCCUCUUCUUCCAUAUAAAUCUUGUGUUUUUGUGCGAUCCAAUAUAUUUCAUAUUGGUCUUAUCUUUCUUGCUUUUAUUAUUUGGCCCGGUUCUCUACAGUUUAUACAUAUGAGGUGAUUACAAUUGAAAGUGAAAGUAGAGUUCAGCUAUAGCCCAUUCAGAAUAUGAGACCCCGAAGAAUGCAUUUGUAUAAGCUUAGAGUUACGGAGUUAGGUUGUAUCGUAUAUUUUUUCUUAUAAUUUUGGGUUGUAUUAGAUUAUAUUUUCAUAAAUAUAUGAUUUUACGUUUUAAUGCAUUUAUAUAUAGAUCGAAUUUUUUUAAUAUAUUUAAUGAAAUAUUAAUAAAUGAUCUUGUUAUUAUAAUCUUUGACAGUCGACAUUCAACGGUCAAUGGCCGCCAUAGCUCACCAAUAUUCCUGAAUCCGCUACUGUUUAAAGUUCACUUAACCAUGUAAGUUAUCUUUUUAUACGUUAUUCAAUUGUUAGAUACUUUGUUUUAUAGUACGUGUUUAUUAUCACUUGCUUUGGUUGUUCCACUUAGAAACACUUUGAAGUCUAUGAGAAAUGUGGUAUGAUAUCUUUGAGACAAUGCUCUUGAGAAGCCCACGUACCCAAGCAAAAGAUGAAGUAUUUCUUCUUAAAGGAAGGUGACCAAACGAGGUGUAUAUCAAGGGAUGAUAAGAUGUUUAGUACUCUUUAUUUACCGAUAAUUCUUUCUCAAGCACGAAAGUAUUUAUUCGUCCUAUGUUUAAUGAGAGUAAACACGAAAUUCUACGACACCCUCAUACAUCUCGAGUUGAAGUGCCAUUUGAUACAGAUUAUGAGCUAUGAUAUUGCGUUUGAAAGCAUUAGAUCAAGAUAUGAAGGGAUCUUCAUUUAUCCUCGAUGAAUAUACUUGAAAAG
rnacentral:lncRNA from 1 species